rnacentral:rRNA from 1 species
AGCGAACGCUGGCGGCAGGCCUAACACAUGCAAGUCGAGCGCCGUAGCAAUACGGAGCGGCAGACGGGUGAGUAACGCGUGGGAACGUGCCCUUCGGUUCGGAAUAACUCAGGGAAACUUGAGCUAAUACCGGAUACGUCCGAAAGGAGAAAGAUUUAUCGCCGAAGGAUCGGCCCGCGUAAGAUUAGCUAGUUGGUGAGGUAACGGCUCACCAAGGCUCUGAUCUUUAGCUGGUCUGAGAGGACGAUCAGCCACACUGGGACUGAGACA